rnacentral:rRNA from 1 species
GAUGAACGCUGGCGGCGUGCCUAAUACAUGCAAGUCGAGCGAACGGACGAGAAGCUUGCUUCUCUGAUGUUAGCGGCGGACGGGUGAGUAACACGUGGAUAACCUACCUAUAAGACUGGGAUAACUUCGGGAAACCGGAGCUAAUACCGGAUGAUAUUUUGAACCGCAUGGUUCAAAAGUGAAAGACGGUCUUGCUGUCACUUAUAGAUGGAUCCGCGCUGCAUUAGCUAGUUGGUAAGGUAACGGCUUACCAAGGCAACGAUGCAUAGCCGACCUGAGAGGAUGAUCGGCCACACUGGAACUGAGACACGGUCCAGACUCCUACGGGAGGCAGCAGUAGGGAAUAUUCCGCAAUGGGCGAAAGCCUGACGGAGCAACGCCGCGUGAGUGAUGAAGGUCUUCGGAUCGUAAAACUCUGUUAUUAGGGAAGAACAUAUGUGUAAGUAACUGUGCACGUCUUGACGGUACCUACUCAGAAAGCCACGGCUAACUACGUG